UACGUAGGGUGCGAGCGUUAAUCGGAAUUACUGGGCGUAAAGUGUGCGCAGGCGGCCGCGCAAGUCGAGUGUGAAAUCCCCGAGCUUAACUUGGGAAUUGCGCUCGAAACUACGUGGCUGGAGUGUGGCAGAGGAAGGUGGAAUUCCACGUGUAGCGGUGAAAUGCGUAGAGAUGUGGAGGAACACCGGCGGUGUAGACGGCUUUCUGGACCGUAGCUGACGCUGAGACACGAAAGCGUGGGUAGCAAACAGG
rnacentral:rRNA from 1 species